UACGUAGGGUGCAAGCGUUGUCCGGAAUUAUUGGGCGUAAAGAGCUUGUAGGCGGUUUGUCGCGUCUGCUGUGAAAUUUCGGGGCUCAACCCCGAACUUGCAGUGGGUACGGGCAGACUAGAGUGUGGUAGGGGAGACUGGAAUUCCUGGUGUAGCGGUGAAAUGCGCAGAUAUCAGGAGGAACACCGAUGGCGAAGGCAGGUCUCUGGGCCACUACUGACGCUGAGAAGCGAAAGCAUGGGGUGCGAACAGG
rnacentral:rRNA from 1 species